CUGCUGAAUUACACGUAGAUUGUAACUCUGAGAUUAGAGUGAUUCAGCAACAUGUGAUAACAAAGUUAUCAGUGCUGUGGGUUUGGCCAAGCUGUUGACAGACAAUAAAGCCUGCUGAAGCCAACUUGGAUUAAUGAGCGUCACCUAUGAACUGGAAUGAAAUGCUGCUAGCUCCUUACUUUGGAGAGUGACUGAAAGAAAACAGAUCAUUCAUACAGUUUACAACAAAGGCAUUUUAUAAUCUGAUUUGUCUAGCUGUGAUGAAGAAUUUUAGUUAAUGGAAGCUGCAGCAGUCUGUCACCAGGAAAUAUACUGCUUUAUUCAGAAUGGUCUGGAGUGCAACAGAUCCAUCCAAAUUAAGGAUAUGCAAUCCUUUGGUACAAGAUCAGCAUCUGAUUCUACAGCAUGAGCAUACACAUCAACUAAAAAGUACCCAUUGCGGACCAGACUAUCAGGCGAGAAGGUCAGGUGGGAAAACCAGAUAAAUGUUCAUAAAGUGAAUAAAUAUUUUAAACAAAUCUGGUCAAAAACCUUAACAGUUCCUUUUGAAAAAGGCCGGAGGACCAAAAUCAUCAAGAUUUUAUAUUUCUGUUAUGCCAGAGAUAUUUUUAAAGAUGUACAUAUUCUUAAUUCAGAUUAGACUCAAGAGCAAAGAGAGGCUGGUGAAUAUUUGGGUGGCAUGAGUUCUCUUAAAAAAUUAGUUUCUCUCCUUGAACCUGGUAUUAUUUGCUUUUGGAUCCUUCCUAUGGCAUAUGUUCAAUCCUCUGGAGUUUUGUUGGUGUUUAAAACAGGAAUAUGCCUUUUAUGUUUUUAGAGUAUUCAAGUACAGAUUCCUAUAAUUUACAUGGUUUCUUCUAGAAAGUAGGCAACAGACACCAUGAUUAAGAGCAACACACCCUCUCCAUUGUGAUGCUUUCCAGGGAAAUGAUUCAGUGCUCUUUAGUGGCUUAAACAAUGGAUUAAUGGCACACCUAUUUUGUGGAAAGUAAAUUUUAAAUGGGAUGCCUGUUUUCUGCAAGUCUAUAAAAGAUGUGAAUUGAUAUGUGGUAGUAUACGUUCUCCACUGUAUGGAGAUUUGUUCACUGCAUGGUAUUUCCUUGCUCCAUUAUAACUGCUAAAUGAGUCAUCUUAACAGGGAUGUGAUUUGUUAAAUACUUAGUUUUAAAACAAUCCAGGAAAUGAAAGUGUACCUUGCAGCAUAAUAUAUUCCUAGGAGUCUGUCUGAUAAUCUGAGCAACUGUUGAAAUGGUAGAUUUCAUUCACAGCAUGCCAGUUAAGUGAACUUCACUGUGUAUACUUUUUUUUUUUUCAUGUUAGGCAUAGCUACGUAGGCAAAAAGGCUAAUUUCUCCUUAUCACCGGGUUUGUGGUAUCCUCAGUCCAUGUAUUCAGUUGCUGCUCUGAUGUGCAAAUACAAUAAUAAAAGAAAGAGGUGAUUAUACUCUCCUCCACCCUCCAUGUAUUGUAUAAGAGAUGCUCACUGUGGGGAGGGAGUUGUAUGUUCACAUGGGCACAUACAUUCUGCAUCAAUAUAGCAACGUUGUAACCUGCCUGUGCAUAGAGUAUCUUUUUGUGUACUUGAUUGGACAGUUGAUCAGUAUAAAUGCAUUUUGGCUGCCUUAUAUUCCUGCCCCAUAUCCUGGGCUGUACUCUCCAGACUGAUUAUGCAGUGAAUGGGGCACAGCAAAAUGAGUCAGUUCCUGUUCUUUUGGCUGAAGCUUCAUUAAGAGUUCUCAAGAAAAAAUUUAGAAUGUGGAUGUGGUCAACGUAGUCAUUUUCCAGGCAUCUCAAAGGAAACCCACAUCAACUGUGAAUGUGAACUUUGAACUUCUAUCCCUCCAGUAACAGAAGUGGGGAUGCAUUUGAUGGGAAUAUUCACUUGUGGCCCUCACCCUUU